UUUGAAUCCUUUUUUAAAAUGUUUUCGAGAUAAACUUUCUGCCUUUGACGAUUUGGUCAAAGAUAUCCAAGUCGUACGUGUUUAAUCUCGCCAGUGAAAGACGACAAACUAAUUUUAAAAACUCAAGAAAUGUGGGAAAAGACGAUACUUGAAAUAUAUGGAUUUACCAUAGGAUUUACACUCGGGAUUUACAAAGGUAAAAACGUAUUUUCAUAUUCAAUUUUAUUUAGACUUUUAUAUCUUAUUUGACAUCUAUUAUCAGAUUAUCUUUUAAAAGAGAGAAUUAUGUUUUGUGUUAUGCACCACUUAUAUAUAAGCUGGGGGUGCUGGAAGUUGAUCUGGGAAGGUAGUUUCUACCUAGCUUUCUUGCACGGUUGGGGAUACUUCUUGAUUUUUGUGUCAUAUAAAUAGUAAUAUAGAGGCUUGAGAUAAAUCACACUUCUCCCUAAGCUGAGGUAAUAAGGUUUAGCUGAGGUGUGUGCCAAGGCAUACAUGUGUGAUCGCACCUCAUUCCCAGGAUGGCCUGUUUUCUUACAGGUUUUCUCAGUAAAUAUCACUCUGAAUAAACAGAUAUGUACCUUUAUAAGUACACUCAUAGUUUGGAUUCCCCUGGUUUAAGCGAAAGAGUAUGUUAGGUUUGUUUACCUUGAUCAUAAUGCUAUAUUGCUAUUAAAUUAUGUUACUGGUCAGGAUUCUUGUACAACCUGUAUAAUUCAUCUAUUUUUAUUGCAGAUUUAUUCCACAAUGACACACUCCUUUCUGGGUGGCAAAAUACAGUACCAAUUAAGCCACAUCUUUGGAAACUGAACAUACUGUAUUUAAAUACAUGCUUCCAGUAAUUAUGUCACCUUGGCUAUAGGCUAUAGGCUAUA
rnacentral:lncRNA from 1 species